rnacentral:rRNA from 1 species
ACGAGAGAGCUUGCUCUCUUGGUGGCGAGUGGCGGACGGGUGAGUAAUAUAUCGGAACGUGCCCAGUAGCGGGGGAUAACUACUCGAAAGAGUGGCUAAUACCGCAUACGCCCUACGGGGGAAAGGGGGGGAUUCUUCGGAACCUCUCACUAUUGGAGCGGCCGAUAUCGGAUUAGCUAGUUGGUGGGGUAAAGGCUCACCAAGGCAACGAUCCGUAGCUGGUUUGAGAGGACGACCAGCCACACUGGGACUGAGACACGGCCCAGACUCCUACGGGAGGCAGCAGUGGGGAAUUUUGGACAAUGGGGGAAACCCUGAUCCAGCCAUCCCGCGUGUAUGAUGAAGGCCUUCGGGUUGUAAAGUACUUUUGGCAGAGAAGAAAAGGUAUCUCCUAAUACGAGAUACUGCUGACGGUAUCUGCAGAAUAAGCACCGGCUAACUACGUGCCAGCAGCCGCGGUA